UGAGUUCCCAUACAUGACAUUUGGUCUA
rnacentral:sRNA from 1 species